UCACAUUGUCCUUGAUCAAGUGUAUCAAAGAGGAAAUAAAGAGGAUAUUGUAUUCCAUUUCUAAUCCAUCUUUCAAGAUCAAUGGAAAAAUAAUAAGACAAAUUAGAAAAUUUUAUUCUUUCUCCUUUCUCCUUCUUUUCUCCUUUCUUCUAGACCCUUCCAUGACGACCCUUGGCCCAGUUGGCACAAAGCUAAUGUAAAAACACCUAAUGAAUUGGCAAUACGCCUUCCCCGUUGGCAGACGUGAAUGUCCACGAAACGCAGUCACUUCGUCGCUGUCCAUGGAAACUAUCUGUGCAUCUUUCUCUCCAUUGUAACUGAUUGCAGAAUUCAUUUGUCAAGAUGCCAGAAACGUCACAAAUAUUGACAUUGACGCCAAUAAAAUAAAUACUUGUUAUUUAAAGAAUUAUUAUGAGCAAAAAUUUCUCAACAACAAUGAUCAGAUUUGUAUGGAUCUAUAUUUCGCGGUAUCGGUUGAACCAAUCGCGGAAAAAGAUUCUUAUUGAUUAACAUCCAACUGUGCCGAUGAUUGGCCCCGGCCGUGAUGAAGGUUUUCGCUUCGACGUUCAGACUUUUUGUUGGAAAGUCACGGGCCUAGUAACAUCUGCUUGCCACAUAAAUACAUAGAUAUAGCAGCGAUGUGGUCGAUAAUUCGUCGUUUGCACUAUUUAA